rnacentral:rRNA from 1 species
UACCUCUAGUUGUUCCUACUUCCCUAGUUCUUCCGGUACCUCCUGGUUCAAGGCCGUUGUUUUCUGUGGGAAGUUGAACUAGUGUUAGAAGAGUGGGGUUGUCUUUAGCUUCGAAAGUUCUACUAACUCAAUCGAGCAUAUGUUUUAUUCAUAGAGUGUGCACUUUUAUAAAACAACUUCCUCGUAUAGUAGCGUGAGUUCCCGUAAUAGGCGUUUAGCCCCGCUGACGAUUCACGAUUGAGAGAGAGAGUAAGAGUAAGAGUAAAAGCAACCACGACUACCUGUGCUGGUGGAGUGCCACUCACUCCUUCUACGAAAUGACGCCCCUCCCUUCGUCGGCGUCUAACUCCUCCUGCCGUGUCCAGCGCUCGUAUCAGUACCGGAAGUCUAACUCCUCCUGCCGUGUCCAGUUCGAGUUCGGACCCUUGCGCAGGACACCGAUACGUCGCCGAGAAGAAGUGGCAGACAGUGAAACUGUUGCUGACGAUGCAGGUCGUGCUGAGGUUGGAGAAAGGAGCCAGAGGCGGAUACGAGGUGGCCGUGUUAGUCAUAUCAGUUCCAUACUCACCUAUCUCCGUCCCUCCUACCCCUUCCUCUGUUCGUCCUCCUUCUCUCUAAGAGCUAAACUCUUUCUUCUCUUCUCUUUAUUAGAAGUCCUUCUCAAACCACUUCUUAUUCCAGUAUAGUCGAGGUAUAGUACAACGUCUCCUUUUUGAAGAGUGGUAUAAGUCCGUAGACACCCUUCCUCUUCUUGACUUUUACCACUGAAUAUAACUGACCUUUGGUUCAUGAACAGAUUAAUAACAAGUCCUUUUUAUAUCACAUAGUACAAGAACCAACGAUUAUGACAUCAUGGAUACGUUUAGGAAGACAGUCUGGCGACUUACCUUUAUUGAGUUUUCUUCUCUUGCCUCUACAACAGAGAAACGUUAAGCUAUUGGCAGUCAAGUCAAUGAUUCUUGAGUUCUGGUAGUGUUUAUCUAAGCUCUUAAGGUAACCGUUUGCAGUCAAACCUCAACAGAUAGAACCGAUGAACCUUGUACCUUUGGGUCAAUGAUAAUGACAACAAACCAUAAACCUGUAUAGAAAGACUCUCCCUCUACCCUUGUCUGUUUAAGCCCCUCUACCCUUGGCUGUUUAAGUCACUUCCAACCGACGCGCAUUUGAUAACACUAGUUCAACCCUUGUUUACAAAGGAGAUUGAGGAGCACAACCUCUGACCCCAAUCCUCACCUUCACUAGGCAAUUGUUUGUUCUUGAACCGUCUUCGAUAUGUAUACGUUUAUCUCCAAGUCUGUGUCGAGGUACUUGUCGAUAUCCACAGAAGAAACAAGGACAAAAGUUCGAGAUUAACCUACUACGACAACAGCCGCAUAUAAAAAAUACCAUCCUCGUAAAAAAAGAUCGAAGUGUUAUUAAUUACACGAAACACAUCCAUACUUGGGUUUAGGUAUAAAUUUACCCACGAUUUAUAAAAACGCCGUACCACCUGAAAGAUUAGACC